UCUUAGGGUUUGCUCUUACAGUCUUACACUACUGUAUCAUCAUUUCCUAUAUUCUUGAUUUCUUCACCCCACGCUUUCUUUGCCCCCAUUCUCAGCUUUCCCCUUUCUUAAACGUUUUUGUCAUACAGGGGUUUUAGAGUGAGAUUCAUAAAGAGACAUAUAGAAAGAGAGUGAAGGGCGAUGCGGAUGUAAGGGUAGCUAGAGAGAUUCAUAAAGAGACAUAUAGAUAACCAGCGAAGACCAAAUCCCGAUCUAAUGGCUUUCGAUCCUCCUUUCAAUUGGGAAGACGACCCUCGAAAUAUUCUACUUGAUGUUUAUGAUCAAGGAGGUCCUGGUACGUGUGGUAUGCUUGUACCAUUGGAGUGUAUCAGUUCUAUGAAGGCGUUGAAGGAUGGUACGGCACCUGUGAGGCUGAGCACAGAGCAGCUCGUCCAAAAUGUGCACUUGAAAUUUCCUGGGUAUUGUUUUUUAGAAAUAAAGCUUAAUUAAUUGACGCAAUGAUAAACCCUCUUUUGCUCAUUAAUUACAUUCUACACUCUAGGGUUAGCCAAAAAUUUACAUGAGUGAUCAGAGCAAUUUUGAAACA